rnacentral:rRNA from 1 species
UACGUAGGGUGCGAGCGUUGUCCGGAAUUAUUGGGCGUAAAGAGCUCGUAGGCGGUCUGUCGCGUCGAAUGUGAAAACCCGGGGCUCAACUCCGGGCUUGCAUUCGAUACGGGCAGGCUAGAGUUCGGUAGGGGAGUCUGGAAUUCCUGGUGUAGCGGUGAAAUGCGCAGAUAUCAGGAGGAACACCGAUGGCGAAGGCAGGUCUCUGGGCCGCAACUGACGCUGAGGAGCGAAAGCAUGGGGAGCGAACAGG